rnacentral:rRNA from 1 species
AGUGAACGCUGGCGGUAGGCCUAACACAUGCAAGUCGAACGGCAGCACAGUAAGAGCUUGCUCUUACGGGUGGCGAGUGGCGGACGGGUGAGGAAUACAUCGGAAUCUACUUUUUCGUGGGGGAUAACGUAGGGAAACUUACGCUAAUACCGCAUACGACCUACGGGUGAAAGCAGGGGAUCUUCGGACCUUGCGCGAUUGAAUGAGCCGAUGUCGGAUUAGCUAGUUGGCGGGGUAUAGGCCCACCAAGGCGACGAUCCGUAGCUGGUCUGAGAGGAUGAUCAGCCACACUGGAACUGAGACACGGUCCAGACUCCUACGGGAGGCAGCAGUGGGGAAUAUUGGACAAUGGGCGCAAGCCUGAUCCAGCCAUACCGCGUGGGUGAAGAAGGCCUUCGGGUUGUAAAGCCCUUUUGUUGGGAAAGAAAAGCAGCAGGUUAAUACCCCGCUGUUCUGACGGUACCCAAAGAAUAAGCACCGGCUAGCUUCGUG